rnacentral:tRNA from 7 species
GUACCCGUAGCUCAGUUGGAUAGAGCGUUGGCCUCCGAAGCCAAAGGUCGCUGGUUCGAUUCCAGUCGGGUGCACCA